AUGCAGCUAUCAAGUGCCCUAUUUCGUGACAGUAAAAACACUCCUGUUUCCCAGGGACUUCACUGGUUUUCUGUGAGGCUUUCUAAAACGCAAAGAGGGAGAGCGGCUUCUUUAGUGCAGGAGGUUUUUGUACAACCACUGAACGACUUCGUAUCACUGUGGUACACUUUUGGUGGCGGCACAAAACUCUCAGUUGGACUAAACGAGAUUGUAGCUCUGUGGUGGACUUUCGGUGGUGGAACAAAACUAUCAGUUGGACGUGACGCCCCGCCCACCCUCACGGUCCUGCCCCCCUCCAGUGUACAGCUGCAGCAGGAGAAGGUCACACUCGUGUGUCUGGCCAACAAGGGCUUCCCCUCAGACUGGAAGCUGAGCUGGAAGGUAGCUGGUAGCAGCUGGAGCUCGGGGGUGAGCCAGAGCUCCGGGCUACUGCAGAAGGACGGCCUCUACAGCUGGAGCAGCACCCUGACCCUCCAGAAGGAGGAGUGGCUGAAGAAGACAGUGACCUGUGAGGCCACCAAGGACUCCCAGUCUCCUGUCACACAGACACUGAGUAGAGAGCAGUGUGCUGAGGCGUGA